rnacentral:rRNA from 1 species
UACGUAGGGUGCGAGCGUUAAUCGGAAUUACUGGGCGUAAAGCGUGCGCAGGCGGUUCGUUGUGUCGGUGGUGAAAGCCCCGGGCUUAACCUGGGAAUGGCCAUGGAAACUGGCGAACUGGAGUGUGGCAGAGGGGGGGUGGAAUUCCGCGUGUAGCAGUGAAAUGCGUAGAGAUGCGGAGGAACACCGAUGGCGAAGGCAGCCCCCCUGGGCUAGCACUGACGCUGAGACGCGAAAGCGUGGGGAGCAAACAGG